GCCCUCGUAGAUCAGCGGUAGAUCUCCUCCUCGCAAUGUUGUUAUCGUAGUCGUGCUAUGGAGGUGACGUGGGUUUGACUCCCACCGAGGGUA